rnacentral:rRNA from 1 species
AGCCAGACUCCUACGGGAGGCAGCAAUGGGGAAUAUUGGGCAAUGGGCGCAAGCCUGACCCAGCAACGCCGCGUGAAGGAAGAAGGUUUUCGGGUUGUAAACUUCUUUUAAGAGGGAAGAGUAGAAGACGGUACCUCUUGAAUAAGCCACGGCUAACUACGUGCCAGCAGCCGCGGUCAUACGUAGGAUCCGAGCAUUAUCCGGAGUGACUGGGUGUAAAGAGUUGCGUAGGUGGCAUAGUAAGUAGCUAGUGAAAUCUGGUGGCUCAACCAUUCAGACUAUUAGCUAAACUGCUAAGCUCGAGACCGUUAGGGGUAACUGGAAUUUCUAGUGUAGGAGUGAAAUCCGUAGAUAUUAGAAGGAACACCGAUAGCGUAGGCAGGUUACUGGGACGGUUCUGACACUAAGGCACGAAAGCGUAGGGAGCAAACGGGAUUAGAUACCCUUGUA